CACACGAGUUUGAUCAUGGCUCAGGAUGAACGCUAGCGGCAGGCCUAACACAUGCAAGUCGAACGGCAGCACAGGUAGCAAUACUGGGUGGCGAGUGGCGCACGGGUGCGUAACACGUAUGUAACUUACCCUUAACUGGAGGAUAGCUCCGAGAAAUCGGGAUUAAUACUCCAUAACAUUUCUAAGAGGCAUCUCUUGGUUUUUAAAGCUCCGGCGGUUAAGGAUAGACAUGCGGCUGAUUAGUUUGUUGGUGAGGUAACGGCUCACCAAGACUACGAUCAGUAGGGGUACUGAGAGGUUAAACCCCCACACUGGUACUGAGACACGGACCAGACUCCUACGGGAGGCAGCAGUAAGGAAUAUUGGACAAUGGCCGCAAGGCUGAUCCAGCCAUGCCGCGUGCAGGAAGACGGACCUAUGGUUUGUAAACUGCUUUUGAACGGGAGAAAACCCCCCUACGUGUAGGGGGCUGAUAGUACUGUUAGAAUAAGCAUCGGCUAACUUCGUG
rnacentral:rRNA from 1 species